GGAUGAGCGCUGGCGGCGUGCCUAACACAUGCAAGUCGAGCGGCAGCAUGUGCAGCACUCUUUUUUAUGAGACGCACCAGACAAAAAUCUGGUUGCGAGCCCUGAUAACAAAGGUGCUGCAUGAUGGCGAGCGGCGGACGGCUGAGUAACGCGUAGGAACGUACCCCAAAGUGAGGGAUAAGCCCGGGAAACCGGGUCUAAUACCGCAUGUUAUCUUCGGAUUAAAGCUUUAUGCGCUUUGGGAACGGCCUGCGUCCGAUUAGUUUGUUGGUGAGGUAAUGGCUCACCAAGGCUACGAUCGGUAGCUGGUCUGAGAGGAUGAUCAGCCAGACUGGGACUGAGACACGGCCCAGACUCCUACGGGAGGCAGCAGUGGGGAAUUUUCCACAAUGGGCGAAAGCCUGAUGGAGCAACGCCGCGUGCAGGAGGAAGGCCUUCGGGUUGUAAACUGCUUUUCUACGUGACGAAUAUGACAGUAGCGUAGGAAUAAGCCUCGGCUAACUCCGUGCCAGCAGCCGCGGUCAUACGGAGGAGGCAAGCGUUAUCCGGAAUCACUGGGCGUAAAGAGUUGCGUAGGUGGCACUGCAAGUCGGUUCUUAAAGACUGGGGCUCAACCCCAGGACUGGAACCGAGACUGCAGAGCUUGAGCACGAGAGAGGUAGCUGGAAUUCCCGGUGUAGGAGUGAAAUCCGUAGAUAUCGGGAGGAACACCAAUGGCGUAGGCAGGCUACUGGCUCGUUGCUGACACUAAGGCACGAAAGCGUGGGGAGCGAACGGGAUUAGAUACCCCGGUAGUCCACGCCGUAAACGAUGGAUGCUAGCUGUGGGGGGUAUCGACCCCCUCCGUAGCGAAGCUAACGCGUUAAGCAUCCCGCCUGAGUAGUACGAGCGCAAGCUUAAAACUCAAAGGAAUUGACGGGGACCCGCACAAGCGGUGGAGCGUGUUGUUUAAUUCGAGGAUAAGCGUAGAACCUUACCAGGGCUUGACAUCCUUGGAAUUACUUCGAAAGAAGUGAGUGCCGUUUGGAACCAAGUGACAGGUGAUGCAUGGCCGUCUUCAGCUCGUGUCGUGAGAUGUUGGGUUAAGUCCCGCAACGAGCGCAACCCUUAUGAUUAGUUGGAUUUCUCUAAUCAGACUGCCUCGGCAACGGGGAGGAAGGAGGGGAUGAUGUCAGGUCAGUAUUUCCCUUACGUCCUGGGCGACAAACACGCUACAAUGGCCGGUACAGAGGGCAGCUAAGUCGCGAGACGGAGCAAAUCCCAUCAAAGCCGGUCUCAGUUCGGAUUGCAGGCUGAAACUCGCCUGCAUGAAGCCGGAAUCGCUAGUAACCGUAGGUCAGCACACUACGGUGAAUACGUUCCCGGGUCU
rnacentral:rRNA from 1 species